AUGGGUACCAGAGCCACUGCUGAGAGGAGCCGGAGGGAGAGUGGCACGAGGAUGAUGCUCAGGCACCAGGAUCACUUUGUGGAGGGAAAAGCAGAGGCUCCCCACUGGGUCAGCUGGGGCUUCACGAAAUUCACCCCAGUGCUGCAAGAGGCUGCCGAGCUUGGUCACCAUCAGCAAUGCAUCUUCAACUUUAUUUCCUGUGUUGCUCUUCUGGGAAAACUUUUGGCAACAGAGGAAUCAAGGUAUGGGGCGUGGUGGGAGGGUAUCAGAUCUGAGGGCAGCUCCAGAUGCAAGCUGUUGUUUGCAGAGGAAAUGUGCUCUAAUAGACAAAGAACCCAUCAGACAGCUGUUUUGGGGUCCUCAAUAUAUUACAUUUUAAAAGGAAAGAAAAAAGCAUUGCCUGUGAAAACGGCAUUGGCAAAACAUCUGCUGAGCACACAGCACUCCUGAUCCCUGGUGGAGGUGGGGAUGAGGAAGUCUGCAAAAAAGCUCUGAAGCAGGUGUGCCCCAAGUAACCCGUGUUGUCCCUUGUCCCUACUCACACCACCCACGUUCUAAGCAAGGACAAAGAGGCACGUGGGAGAGGCAGCUGCUGUAAUCAAGAGGGUGGUGGCCCGUCACAUUAUCCAGAGCCACCUCACUCUGAACAUGAACAAGGUUGUGAAGCAUCAUCAUUGGUACUUCCUGCAGCUGAGGGAACAAGUGUGUCUAGAAGACCAGCUGGGAGGGGGACUGUGUUUGCAGACAGGUGUUUCUGGCAGACCCUCUCAGCAAUUCAUUCCCAGCACCAUCUGCCUGUAGAACCAUCGCUCAUGCCAGCGAGAGAGUCUGAGGCUGCACUGCCACUCCAUCCAGCAUGACCUUUGGUAGAGAGCAGUUCUUCCAGCUCGUGCGGGCGACACUGUAUCAGCUGGUGAAAGAGCAAUCUCUCUUCUCUAGGACAGAUGGAUAAAAUACGACAAUAGAGAUUUUCCAAAACAUGUUCUUAUCCAUCACCUAGUCUCACUGAAUCCUCACAGCACCCCUCUUCAGCUGUUAUCAUGAGCACCGCUGUCCGGAUGAGGGGCUGAGGCUCAGAGACAUCCGCAGAACUGAUGUGUAGGGUGGCCCGGAGGACUUACCCUCCCCUCAACUCGAAUGGUGGCUCUGUGAUGCCGUUCUAAUAUCUGUGAGCCUCAGUUUCUGUCAAAUGAAGGCAAUCUUAACACUUACUUUAUAGAGGUUUUGUGAACAUUAAGAAUUCAAUAUACAGUUUGUAAAGUGGUGCUUGGCACCAAUAAGAGCUUAAUAAAUAC
rnacentral:lncRNA from 10 species